GAUCAUGGCUCAGGAUGAACGCUGGCGGCGUGCUUAACACAUGCAAGUCGAACGGGAAUUACUUUAUUGAAACUUCGGUCGAUUUAAUUUAAUUCUAGUGGCGGACGGGUGAGUAACGCGUGGGUAACCUGCCUUAUACAGGGGAUAACAGUCAGAAAUGACUGCUAAUACCGCAUAAGCGCACAGGACCGCAUGGUCUGGUGUGAAAAAACUCCGGUGGUAUAAGAUGGACCCGCGUUGGAUUAGCUAGUUGGG
rnacentral:rRNA from 1 species